ACGAAGGGGGCUAGCGUUGUUCGGAAUUACUGGGCGUAAAGCGCACGUAGGCGGACUUUUAAGUCAGGGGUGAAAUCCCGGGGCUCAACCUCGGAACUGCCUUUGAUACUGGAAGUCUUGAGUAUGGAAGAGGUAAGUGGAAUUGCGAGUGUAGAGGUGAAAUUCGUAGAUAUUCGCAGGAACACCAGUGGCGAAGGCGGCUUACUGGUCCAUUACUGACGCUGAGGUGCGAAAGCGUGGGGAGCAAACAGGA
rnacentral:rRNA from 1 species